GGAUUAGAUACCCUGGUAGUCCACGCCCUAAACGAUGUCUACUAGUUGUCGGGGAUUAAUUUCCUUGGUAACACAGCUAACGCGGGAAGUAGACCGCCUGGGGAGUACGGUCGCAAGAUUAAAACUCAAAGGAAUUGACGGGGACCCGCACAAGCGGUGGAUGAUGUGGAUUAAUUCGAUGCAACGCGAAAAACCUUACCUACGCUUGACAUGUCUGGAAUCCUGUAGAGAUGCGGGAGUGCUCGAAAGAGAGCCAGAACACAGGUGCUGCAUGGCUGUCGUCAGCUCGUGUCG
rnacentral:rRNA from 1 species